rnacentral:misc_RNA from 1 species
AAAAUAUUUCAGUAAUUUAAAAUAAAAAAAAUUAAUGAGAUUUAUCUUUUAUUUUAAAUUAAAAUUAAAAUAAAUAUAGAAUAAAAAAAAUUAAUGGUAAUGGAAAUUACUAUUAUAAAACCUUAAAGAGUAGUAUUGGGACUAGAGAAAAAAACUAAGAGCGUGGCAUUGUUAGGGAAAUGGUACCAACAAUUUUCCAUUUCAUUGUUACAGUAUAAAUAAAUAAAGGAAUUUAAAGUUAUUUUAAUAAAAAUAAUAAUAAUUAGUAUAAAUUUAAAAAUGAAAAAGAAAAAUAAAAUAAUAUAGCUAGAGUUACUGUUUUAAAAUAAUAAUAUUUAGCAUAAAUAUAAUACUUAAAUAGUUAAAUAAGUUAAAUAAGUU